AGUGAACGCUGGCGGUAGGCCUAACACAUGCAAGUCGAACGGCAGCACAGUAAGAGCUUGCUCUUACGGGUGGCGAGUGGCGUACGGGUGAGGAAUACAUCGGAAUCUACUUUUUCGUGGGGGAUAACGUAGGGAAACUUACGCUAAUACCGCAUACGACCUACGGGUGAAAGCAGGGGAUCUUCGGACCUUGCGCGAUUGAAUGAGCCGAUGUCGGAUUAGCUAGUUGGCGGGGUAAUGGCCCACCAAGGCGACGAUCCGUAGCUGGUCUGAGAGGAUGAUCAGCCACACUGGAACUGAGACACGGUCCAGACUCCUACGGGAGGCAGCAGUGGGGAAUAUUGGACAAUGGGCGCAAGCCUGAUCCAGCCAUACCGCGUGGGUGAAGAAGGCCUUCGGGUUGUAAAGCCCUUUUGUUGGGAAAGAAAAGCAGCAGGUUAAUACCCCGCUGUUCUGACGGUACCCAAAGAAUAAGCACCGGCUAACUUCGUG
rnacentral:rRNA from 1 species